rnacentral:rRNA from 1 species
AAUACGUUCCCGGACCUUGCACACACCGCCCGUCAAGCCAUGGAAGCUGGGUGUACCUAAAGUCGGUAACCGCAAGGAGCCGCCUAGGGUAAAACUAGUGACUGGGGCUUA